rnacentral:lncRNA from 1 species
UUUUUAAAGGCAACAGUAGGGGUGAGGGUUGCAAAGUGCGUGAUCAGCUCGAGGUCAUUUUCUUGAUGUUGGUGGUGAGAUAAGAGGGGGAUGUUUCUGGAAUCUCAAUCAUCAACCUUCUGGUUCCAACCAGUCUGGGGUCUGCAUGCUUGUGGUCAGCCUGUAGUCACCAUCCUCCACUGAGUUGAGAAGGGUGUCUUAGUUUCUGCAAAACAACUCAAAGAUAUGCAUCAGAUUGUUAUCUGUACCCCUUCAGGAGGAACCAGGAGUCUUCUGCUUGUAAUGUUCUCACAUCUGUUUGAGCCUGCUCUUUGGAACUUGGGGAAGGCCUAGGGGACUAAAGAUUUUUCUACAAAGGAGAAGUGGGGAUGGGGAGGGGCUUGUACCUCAUAGGGCCCCACAGGUUCCUGCUUGGUUUCCAUUCUGCUCCUUGUGAUGCAGGACCAUCCAGGAGGGCUUGCUCCCUGGGGGGCCCUUGGUGCUGCAUGGGCUGUGAGCUAGGAUGGCACUAGACUGGCAUGCCUCUGUUUCCCUCCAUGUGGCCUCACCCUCUGGCUCUAGCUUCUCAUGGCCUGGCCACUGGAUUCCAAGGGGAAUGGGCCACUUGUGGGAGGACACAACUGCACACCUCAUAAAGCCCAGAUUCUAUGGGUUGGAACAAAUCACAGGUCCAGCUCAGGUGCAAGGGGAAGGGAUAUGGACUCAGCGGCAGGGGUGAUGAAGAAUUUAAUCCACCACAUUUGUGUGGAUCAUCCAGUGACCGUCGCCUUUGGACCACAGGCUGUCCCAGAAUCCUUGCAUGGAGAGAGAGAACUUGGAUAUGCAUCCGGCUGGCUUUGAGAAGAGAAAAUCUUGCUGACCUUGAUCAAGGUGGAUCUGAGGAGUUCCUAUUGUGGCACAGCAGAAACAAAUCCGACUAGUAUCCAUGAGGAUGCAUGUUCGAUCCCUGGCCUCGCUCAGUGGGUUAAGGAUCUGGCAUUGCUGUGAGCUGUGGUGUAGGUCACAGACAUUGCUUGGAUCUAGCGUUGCUGUGGCUGUGGCAUAGGCCAGCCACUGCCGCUCUGAUCCAGCCCCCAGCCUGGGAACUUCAUGUGCCGUGGGUGCAGCCCUAAAAAAAAAAAAAAAAAAAAAAAAAAAAAAAAAAAAAAAAAGAUGGAUCUGACUAUAAUCAAGAAGGCGUUUCCCCAUGAGCAGCUGUUCCACCUGUGUUCUCUGAGGUCCACACUGGCUGUCCUUGCCUGUAGGACAUUUUGCUCUAUUGCAUUUUUUCUGCAUGUGGAAGUACUAUAACGGCUAAGUGACAUUUCUGCCUCUCACCAUCCUUAUUUCCUUUGUGGGAACUUCCUUUCUCUUUUCUAUGUGUUUCCAGGGGGCUGCCAAUCAGGCCGCACUGUCCUCCAGUGCAGACCCGGACACCUGACCCAGGCUGGGCCAAAUCUAGUGCUACACCCCCCUUGCAUCUGCGCUUGCUCCAGGGGCUGCCAGAGUUGACAUCUCCUCUGUCCUCUGAUUGCAUUGAGAUGGAAAUUGCAGGUCACCAAGAGACAGACUAAUCAGAGUGUUUUGCUCUUUCUCCAUCUCUCCAAAAUCACAAUGCAAGAUUUUGCUCCUAUUGUUCCUAUUCCUACAUGAAGGUGGAUUCUUCAGUUGCUCUGAUGAGCACAGAUCCCUGGAGCCGGUAUGGUUUACCCAGUGACAGGGUCAGAUAACAAAACGUCUGCAAACAUGACCAGAAAACCACUUCAAAAGAUUGGAAUGUUAUGACCUUUUUAAUGCCUUAGGGCAGAAACAAGUCCUGUUUGUUCAUUUGUUUAUUAUCUUAUUUUAUCUUAUUUGGGACACCUAUAGGGCUUUUCAUUGAUCUUUCAUAGAAACAGACAUUGGUAGGAGUUCCCAUUGUGGCUCAGGGGGUUAAGAGCCUACCAUAGUGGGCAUCCAUGAGGAUGCAGGUUUGUUCCCUGCCCUUGUUCAGAGGAUUAAGGAUCCGACGUUGCCGCAAGCUGUGGUGUGGGUCACAGCUGCAGCUCUGAUUCGAUCCCUGGCCUGGGAACUUCCGUAUGCCACAUGUGUAGCCAUUAAAAAGGGGGAAAAAGAAUAAAGAAAGAAAAAAAGAAACUGACA